GAAACAUAGAAUGUGACGGCAGAUAAGAACCAUUCGGCUCAUCUAGUCUGCCCAAUUUUCUAAAUACUUUCAUUAGUCCCUAGUCUUAUCUUAUAGUUAGGAUAGCCUUAUGCCUAUCCCACGCAUGCUUAAACUCCUUUACUGUGUUAACCUCUACCACUUCAGCUGGAAGGCUAUUCCAUGCAUCCACUACUACCCUCUCAGUAAAGUAAUACUUCCUGAUAUUAUUUUUAAACCUUUGUCCCUCUAAUU